GAUGAACGCUGGCGGCGUGCCUAAUACAUGCAAGUCGAGCGAACGGACGAGAAGCUUGCUUCUCUGAUGUUAGCGGCGGACGGGUGAGUAACACGUGGAUAACCUACCUAUAAGACUGGGAUAACUUCGGGAAACCGGAGCUAAUACCGGAUAAUAUUUUGAACCGCAUGGUUCAAAAGUGAAAGACGGUCUUGCUGUCACUUAUAGAUGGAUCCGCGCUGCAUUAGCUAGUUGGUAAGGUAACGGCUUACCAAGGCAACGAUGCAUAGCCGACCUGAGAGGGUGAUCGGCCACACUGGAACUGAGACACGGUCCAGACUCCUACGGGAGGCAGCAGUAGGGAAUCUGCCGCAAUGGGCGAAAGCCUGACGGAGCAACGCCGCGUGAGUGAUGAAGGUCUUCGGAUCGUAAAACUCUGUUAUUAGGGAAGAACAUAUGUGUAAGGAACUGUGCACAUCUUGACGGUACCUAAUCAGAAAGCCACGGCUAACUACGUG
rnacentral:rRNA from 1 species